rnacentral:tRNA from 1 species
GUCAUUGUAGUAGAUUGGUAACUAUUCCCGCCUGUCACGCGGGUGACCCGAGUUCGAUCCCCGACAACGACG